GCCAUGGAAAAGCUGUUUUUUGAAUAUCCGUGUCAGCUAGAAAAAGCACUGCCUACACUGCAGGGAGAGCAGCUCCAAGAUAUGCUGAAUUGGUUGCAGCCUUGAAUUUCUGUGACCUCUUCUUAACGUGAGGCAGUAUGGUGUGGACAUGGAGUGGCCACUUCCAGCAACUUUAUUGUAUUUAUUUUAUAACAAGAAAAAAAAACUGCAGGCUGGAAAGAUUGAGCAACUUUCCUGAGGUCUCAGGACUGUUGGAGCCACGACAUGAACAAUUGGGAUGAGAGUCUAGAGGAAGAAUAAAAGUCCUCUAGGAAUAUUUCUUUCUAUUUUUCCAGGGCUUAAUUCUCUUAAUAGUCCAAAAAAGGCUGGACUCAACACUAGGGCCUUUUUUC